rnacentral:rRNA from 1 species
UACGGAGGGUGCAAGCGUUGUCGAUGAUUGGUGGCGUAAAGGGUAGGUAGGUGGUCUCAUUUGUCUGGGGUGAAAGCCUUGAGCUUAACUCAAGAAGUGCCCCAGAAACGGUGAGACUAGAGUCUUGGAGAGGGUCGUGGAAUUCCCGGUGUAGCGGUGAAAUGCGUAGAGAUCGGGAGGAACACCAGAGGCGAAGGCGGCGACCUGGACAAGUACUGACACUCAACUACGAAAGCGUGGGGAGCAAACAGG